rnacentral:misc_RNA from 1 species
GUUUCUUGAACUAGAAGCUGCUGCACGGUCAUUUUUUGAUGAUGCAAAUUCUUCUGCUAGCGACAUAGUGCCAUCAGCUCUAUUACAAACCAACUCAGAUGUUUAUUUGUUGGCUGGUAGUUUGUCAAAUGCAUCAGAUAAUGGUAAUGGUUCUCCUGAGAUACGGAGGUUGGAACUCCUAGGAAUGCAAAAGAUAGCAGUGUUGAUUUUGGCAGGGAGACUUCAACUUCUGAACAAAACUUAACUGAUUUAAUGGAAGCAACUGUUAAAUAUGGUAUAUUUA